rnacentral:rRNA from 1 species
UACGUAGGAGGCAAGCGUUGUCCGGAGUUACUGGGCGUAAAGCGUGCGCAGGCGGUUAUGUAAGACAGGUGUGAAAUCCCCGGGCUUAACCUGGGAACUGCAUUUGUGACUGCAUAGCUAGAGUACGGUAGAGGGGGAUGGAAUUCCGCGUGUAGCAGUGAAAUGCGUAGAUAUGCGGAGGAACACCGAUGGCGAAGGCAAUCCCCUGGACCUGUACUGACGCUCAUGCACGAAAGCGUGGGGAGCAAACAGG